CCUACGGGGGGCAGCAGUGGGGAAUAUUGCUCAAUGGGGGAGACCCUGAAGCAGCAACGCCGCGUGAAGGAUGAAGGUUUUCGGAAUGUAAACUCCUUUUGUUAGAGGAGAAAAUGACGGUAUCUAACGAAUAAGCACCGGCUAACUACGUGACAGCAGCCGCGGUAAUACGGAGGGUGCAAGCGUUAUCCGGAAUCACUGGGCGUAAAGAGCGCGUAGGCGGGAUAGCAAGUCAGAUGGGAAAUCCUAUGGCUUAACCAUAGAACUGCAUUUGAAACUGUUAUUCUAGAGUAUGGGAGAGGUAUGUGGAAUUCGUGGUGUAGCGGUAAAAUGCGUAGAGAUCAAGAGGAACACUGAUUGCGAAGGCGGCCUGCUGGAACAUAACUGACGCUGAUGCACGAAAGUGUGGGGAGCGAACAGGAUUAGAUACCCGUGUAGUC
rnacentral:rRNA from 1 species